AGCUAGUUGACGAGUCCAAAAUAGGACGAAAUGCGCACUGUCCUAGAU
rnacentral:hammerhead_ribozyme from 1 species